rnacentral:rRNA from 1 species
AUUGAACGCUGGCGGCAGGCCUAACACAUGCAAGUCGAACGGUAACAGGAAGCAGCUUGCUGCUUCGCUGACGAGUGGCGGACGGGUGUGUAAUGUCUGGGAAACUGCCUGUUGGAGGGGGGUAACUACUGGAAACGGUAGCGAAUACCGCAUAACGUCGCAAGACCAAAGAGGGGGACCUUAUGGCCUCUUGCCAUCUGAUGUGCCCAGAUGGGAUUAGCUAGUAGGUGGGGUAACGGCUCACCUAGGCGACGAUCCCUAGCUGGUCUGAGAGGAUGACCAGCCACACUGGAACUGAGACACGGUCCAGACUCCUACGGGAGGCAGCAGUGGGGAAUAUUGGACAAUGGGCGCAAGCCUGAUGCAGCCAUGCCGCGUGUAUGAAGAAGGCCUUCGGGUUGUAAAGUACUUUCAGCGGGGAGGAAGGGAGUAAGGUUAAUACCUUUGCUUAUUGACGUUACCCGAAGAAGAAGCACCGGCUAACUCCGUG